UACGUAGGGUGCGAGCGUUAAUCGGAAUUACUGGGCGUGAAAGCGUGCGCAGGCGGUUCGUUGUGUCGGCGGUGAAAGCCCCGGGCUUAACCUGGGAACGGCCGUUGAAACUGGCGAACUGGAGUGUGGCAGAGGGGGGUGGAAUUCCGCGUGUAGCAGUGAAAUGCGUAGAGAUGUGGAGGAAUACCGAUGGCGAAGGCAGCCCCCUGGGUCAAUACUGACGCUCAUGCACGAAAGCGUGGGGAGCAAACAGG
rnacentral:rRNA from 1 species